AUGGCUCCCCCUGGACCUGACAGCUCCUGUGGUCCCACCCCGGAGGGGCGACUCAGCUCAAGGGGACAGAAAGGGUCUAUUAAACCCUUUUUUUUUUUUUUCCCCGCAGAGUGCUCUGCCGCCCAGGCUAGGGUAGGGUGCGGUGGCGCGAUCUCGGCUCACUGCAGCCUCUGCCUCCCAAACCCCUUCUUUACUGAAGGCCCCUCCAGCGAUUGCAAAUGGAUGCCCGCCGCACACACCGCCCCGCCGCACCCAGAGUCCGCCGGUCGCUUCCCCUCUCAAUCUCCGCCCUCUGGGAGGCAAACCUGUCCACGCCGGGGUCAGCCUGGCCGGUCCCACGGCAUCCCGUGUGGGGCAGGUGUGUCCUCCGGCGCCUGCCGCCUGGGCUCGGCGUCCGCCCCAUCCCUCCCAGGAGGGUUUCUCCCGCUGUGGACGCGCCCCGUGUGGCCGCCUUCUCCCGACCGAGAGCACCUGCGCCGUGCCUGGUCUUGCCCUUCUCCAGAGCCGGCGGCCCGAGUCUCCCCCUGCAGAGGAGGGGGAGGCCCAAGGCCGCCGGGGCCUGGCGGGCGAUGCCGUCCACGGGGACCCGAGUCCGCUCUCCCGCGAGUGCUGUUUGGGAAACUUCUCGGCUCGGGCCUCUCACCUCCCCGCGGUCGGCGCACACCCGACGCCCGUGGGGACCGGGAUCUGGCCGCGCUGCUGGGCCGUGACGAGCUGGCGUUCGGCACCCAGGACCCACGACGCGCGCUGCGUCUCCGCCUUCGUGAUGCCUCAGACUUCCCGUCACGUCUCAAGACCGCGGGAUCCCGGGGCCCUUGCGGGUGCACCAGAGGGGUCUCCCCCGGCAGGACCCUCUUCCCCAGCUCCCGCGGGGCUCCUGGUCGAAGCUGCCCUCCCGGGCCCUCGCGAGCGCUGCCCGCCUGGGGGAAGUCCCCGCACCGGCGCACCCCGCACCUGGGCCUGGGCACCUGGCUGCGCCGCCCCCGGGCCCGGCUGCUGCUCCCGCCGGCCUCCCUGCCUCGGAGCGAGCGAGUGCCUUUCCCUGACCCGGCGGCGCCGGGCCCUCCCCUCAAUGCCCAGGACCUCCGAGCCGGCCUCGCUCCCUGGUCACGCUGGCAAAAGUGGAACCCUCCGCGAGAGGGCGCGUCCAUGGCCCCCCUCCCGAGGACCCCCAGUUAG
rnacentral:lncRNA from 1 species